CAUGCAAUGCUCAAUUUACGAUUCGCAGUGGCGUAGUGACUUAAAAGACUUAUACGUCACUGCGAAUCGGAGAUUGAGCAUCGCAUGGU